rnacentral:rRNA from 1 species
GAUGAACGCUGGCGGCGUGCCCAUACAUGCAAGUCGAACGAACCUUCGGGUUAGUGGCGGACGGGUGAGUAACGCGUGAGAAUCUGCCCUCAGGAGGGGGACAACAGCUGGAAACGGCUGCUAAUACCCCAUAUGCCGCGAGGUGAAAUGAAUUUCGCCUGAGGAUGAGCUCGCGUCUGAUUAGCUAGUUGGUGUAGGUAAUGGCUCACCAAGGCAUCGAUCAGUAGCUGGUCUGAGAGGAUGAUCAGCCACACUGGGACUGAGACACGGCCCAGACUCCUACGGGAGGCAGCAGUGGGGAAUUUUCCGCAAUGGGCGAAAGCCUGACGGAGCAACGCCGCGUGAGGGAUGAAGGCCUCUGGGCUGUAAACCUCUUUUAUCAAGGAAGAAGAUCUGACGGUACUUGAUGAAUAAGCCACGGCUAAUUCCGUG